ACAAGCGGUGGAGCAUGUGGUUUAAUCGAAGCAACGCGAAGAACCUUUACCAGGUCUUGACAUCCCGAUGCUAUUUCUAGAGAUAGAAAGUUACUUCGGUACAUCGGUGACAGGUGGUGCAUGGUUGUCGUCAGCUCGUGUCGUGAGAUGUUGGGUUAAGUCCCGCAACGAGCGCAACCCCUAUUGUUAGUUGCCAUCAUUCAGUUGGGCACUCUAGCGAGACUGCCGGUAAUAAACCGGAGGAAGUGGGAUGACGUCAAAUCAUCAUGCCCCUUAUGACCUGGGCUACACACGUGCUACAAUGGUUGGUACAACGAGUUGCGAGUCGGUGACGGCGAGCUAAUCUCUUAAAGCCAAUCUCAGUUCGGAUUGUAGGCUGCAACUCGCCUACAUGAAGUCGGAAUCGCUAGUAAUCGCGGAUCAGCACGCCGCGGUCGAAUACGUUCCCGGGCCUU
rnacentral:rRNA from 1 species